rnacentral:rRNA from 1 species
CCUACGGGAGGCAGCAGUGGGGAAUCUUGCGCAAUGGGCGAAAGCCUGACGCAGCCAUGCCGCGUGAAUGAUGAAGGUCUUAGGAUUGUAAAAUUCUUUCACCGGGGACGAUAAUGACGGUACCCGGAGAAGAAGCCCCGGCUAACUUCGUGCCAGCAGCCGCGGUAAUACGAAGGGGGCUAGCGUUGCUCGGAAUUACUGGGCGUAAAGGGAGCGUAGGCGGAUAGUUUAGUCAGAGGUGAAAGCCCAGGGCUCAACCUUGGAAUUGCCUUUGAUACUGGCUAUCUUGAGUAUGGGAGAGGUAUGCGGAACUCCGAGUGUAGAGGUGAAAUUCGUAGAUAUUCGGAAGAACACCAGUGGCGAAGGCGGCAUACUGGCCCAUUACUGACGCUGAGGCUCGAAAGCGUGGGGAGCAAACAGGAUUAGAUACCCUGGUAGUCCACGCUGUAAACGAUGAGUGCUAGUUGUCGGCAUGCAUGCACGUCGGUGACGCAGCUAACGCAUAAGCACCUCCGCCGUCGGGGUAGGUACGGUCGGCGAAGAAGUUAAAACUAACGAAAGGAAGUUAGUACGGCGUGAGACGUCGCCGACGGACGACCGACGAGGGAGGUUAGG